UUAACAUAAAAAUGUAAACAUUCAUUAAAAUGUCGUUUCAAUGAAUUUUUUUAAGGAUAGUGUAAAUUGAGGAACCAAAAUUUAUCCAUGCUAUAAGGAAUUUAUUAAAAUGUUCAUAAGUUGUUUCUGGGGAUGAUUAGUUAUAGAUGAACUUUUUAGUUUAGAGUGUUAAACAACGAUGAUUAUGUAAAGGUAAAUGUAGUUUCACUGCAGACUAGAUUUAAUCCAACGACUAUCGUCCGCAUUACGGGUUAUUUAUAUAACUAACCAGUGUCGUAUCAAACUGUAGUGCUCGAUUGUAUAUAUAUUUUUUAAUUACAAAUUAGUAUUUAAUAGUCUUGUAGUAAUUAUAUUAAACACGUUAUUUGAUUGUAAAAAGGGUUUUAGUGAAAAAAAUGAGGACAUUAUUUUUUAUGAUAUAGAUCAGUCGAAAUAUUGGUAACUAUACGUUACAUAGAAACGUAAAAUUACAUUUGUCGACUGUGCAGGUUUCAACAAUGAUAGUAUGAGUAUUCUUGAAUGUUGAAAAGUGGACAAAAGCUUGAUACUAUAGAGGGUAGCAUACACUACACAGUAUAAUAUCCUUGAGUAUGAAUACCUAACAACUAUAUAUAUUAUAUAUGUUACAGAAAUCGCGGUAUAACACAAUCAAAACGUAAGGUCAUGUAUCAUCAAUAAUAUCAUCUCAAAAUGUUUACCGUACUAAACGUAAACUGAACGACGUAGAUGUAUAGUACGAUUCGCCCAAAAACAUGAGUUGCUUGUGGCUACCACCACAAAAUGUAUACGAUUCAUUGCAUUUUCAGGUCAAAAAUUAAAAGUCCAGAUAAUGUUUUAGACGUAGUUGAUUCAUCUCAAGAUAGUGGUAUUUUAUGAUAUUCUUUAUCCGGGCUUACCCUGACAAUUGGCACCGCGGGCAUGGAUGCUGUUCUUCCACGAUCUGUGAUCGUCGUAGAUCUUCGGUUGCUGAACACCGACGACCGUUGUAGACUCCUCCUGGGUGAACUUCCCGAC